rnacentral:rRNA from 1 species
GACGGAGGAUGCAAGUGUUAUCCGGAAUCACGUGGCGUAAAGCGUCUGUAGGUGGUCAAUAAGUCAACUGUUAAAUCUUGAGGCUCAACCUCAAAUCGCAGUCGAAACUAUUAGACGUAGAGUAUAGUAGGGGUAAAGGGAAUUUCCAAGUGGAGCGGUGGAAAUGACGUAGAGAUUAGGAAAGAACACCGAUGGCGAAGGCACUUUACUGGGCUAUUACUAACACUCAGAGAGGAAAGCUAGGGUAGCAAAUGGG